rnacentral:rRNA from 1 species
AACGAACGCUGGCGGCAUGCCUAACACAUGCAAGUCGAACGAGACCUUCGGGUCUAUUGGCCCACGGGUGCGUAACGCGUGGGAACCUGCCCUUAGGGUCGGAAUAACUCCCCGAAAGGGGUGCUAAUACCGGAUAACGUCUUCUGACCAAAGAUUUAUUGCCUUUGGAGGGGCCGGCGUUGGAUUAGAUAGUUGGUAGGGUAAAAGCUUACCAAGGCGACGAUCCGUAGCUGGUCUGGGAGGAUGGUUCGCAACACUGGGAUUGGGACGCGGCCCAGAAUCCUACGCGAGGCAGCAGUGGGUAACAUUGGACAGUCGGCGGAAGCCUGAUCCAGCUAUGCCGCGUGAGUUAUGAAAUCAUUAGAGUUGUAAAGCUCUUUUACCCGGGAUGAUAAUGACAGUACCGAGAGAAUAAGCUCCGGCUAACUCCGUG